rnacentral:misc_RNA from 1 species
AAAAAAAAAAAAAAAAACAUGGGAAAUUGCAGCUGAUGCUGAUGAGUGCAAUACUUUUUAGUCUGCCCCUGGAUUUUAAUGGUAAUAACCUUAACUCUUGGUCUACAACUUUGCUGCUGCCUGCCAGUUUCAGCCGCAUGCCCCUGCUAAGUGCAGAAAAUAAAAAUUUGAACUGUAGCAUUACAGCGGACUAUACAAUUUCAUGCGUAAUUGUCACAUAAAUCAGAUCAAGAUCAUGCAAAGUUAGUUUCUGUAAUCAACUACUUUCAGCAAUAUAUAGCAUCUUUAUUUGAUUCGCUCGUAAAUAGAAAAGACCACAACAAUUCAGCAUCAGUGCAGCUAAGAGCUUUUCCCGUGUUGAACUAGUUUUUUCAGGAGAAAAAAGUAACAAACUUUUCUAGACUGCAUAAUCAUGGAUAUUUGCAGUUUCUCAAAUGUCUGAAACAUCCAAACCAGAAAUCUAGAGUCUUUGAGUAAUGGAUCAAACACAAUAAGAAGAAGGGAAUGCUUAAAGUCAAAUUCACGUAUGUAGAACCAUAAAUCAUAAAGUAACAUUAAUGAGACUGCUCAACUUCUAACUGGCUAGUUGAUGGGUUUUUCUUGGCAAUGUUGUGCUUGUUGUUGUGCAUCCACACUUUGAGAACCCUUCUCUUAAUUCCAAUGUCUUGGCAAAAUCGCUGCACAGCAGAUUCUUCUAGCUUCUGCAUUUUCCAUCCAGCCUUCUCCGCAAAGCUGAGCAUCUUUUGCUUUUGUUCUUCUGUGAACUUGGUCCUGAACCGCUUUCUCGGCUUCUCAACUGACCUAAUUGCCGCUGCUCCAUCUCCAUUAUCAUCAUCAUCCUUCUCAUCAGAUUCUGAAGGGACAGAACCACUUCUAUAGGAGACUAUCAUCUGGUGAGUCGGUGGGACCCUUGAGGAAAGGAAGGAGUUAGGACACCCUUGUGGUGAUCCAUUUAUCCCAUUGUGAUGGCCCAAAAUGAUUUUGCUCCCAGAAUUUCCGUGGAUAGAAGAGUGAUAAAAAUCGUAUAAGCACUCGCCUUCUAUCUCUUUCCUGUGAAAGUUUCUGUGGCAACUGCAGGCUGAGCACUUUAGGGCCUCGAGGGUGCCUUGUUCACCACUUGGCAUGAACUCACCACACCCAUCUGUUGCAUUCCCACCUAUAGCCGCUGCAUGGUUCUUGAGGCAUUCCUUGUACCUCACCACUUUCUUGUAUCGCCUUUGAUCCUGCAGCUGCAGGCUCGAAGGGGCACCCGUAGGUUCAUUGUAGGAUAGUUGGGAUGCUGCUGAAGUGAUGAUGUGGCAAUUUUCUCUUGCAUAACCGCCGUUUCUUGAGAUGGGCAUGUCCUCCUUUGCUGGACAUAAGUUGUUCAUUUCUUUUUCUCCCUCCAUAAUAAACAAUUCGAUAUGUUACUUUUUUUGCGUGUUUUUUCUGUGAACUUGUUCGGCAGUUAGUCACCUAAUUCUCCCUCAAAGCUAAUACAUAUUUGUGAUGGCAAAGGCUUGAAAUGUCUACAAGGUGCGGACUUUUCUCUUUUUACUAUUCCCUUAUAAAGCCCAGGGAGAAGAGAAAAGAACUGGGGUGGAUGUCUAUAAUGGAAAGGGCGAACCAAGGGUACGAUGAAGAUUAUCAAUGAACACAGGCCAAGACUAAUUGAAGGAAGCUAGCAUUGGAUACUUUCUGAAAAAUGUUCAGCUUAAAUGUUUCUGAUGGCCGGGAUAAGUCACUGAUAUUGUACGUGCACUCUGCUUUUAUGAAGAGAGAGAGCCAAGGUAAUAGAAUAUAGAACAAAUAGAGUUGCAGUGGUUAAUUUUGCAAGUGAAGCAACAAUGUAGAGCUUAUAUAUAAAUAUAUAUUAUUAAAGAGUGAGGGAUGGCGUUGGGCUGAAGGGAUUGAAGUUUUUAAUGGUGGAUUUAGCUAGUAAAGCAACUAAUAGAAGCCUAACUAGGGUUCUAAUUUAUUGAGAGAGAGAGAGAGAGAAGAGGCAGCUUCCAACUUACAAGCUAUGUGGAAUCACCCCACAGGACCCAAAACCAGUGAGUUAACUCUGAUAGUUUCAUUUGGAUCCAUUUUUUCAAGGCUUUUUUCUGAUGAGCAGAAAAUAUCACAAAAAUAUCUGAUUUUUAAGAUGCAAUACUCUAUCGCUUUUUGAUUUAUAUGAUUUGCAACUCCUUUGGUCUAUUGGUCUUUCUUUCCCGAAGUUCCCAAUUUAUGGUGCUUUUGUGGUUCAUUUUUUUCCCCUUCUUAGUUUGUGCCUGCACUUCUUGCAUUUAUAACAAUUCACUC